GGCGUGUACUGCUUGGCUGGGCCUUACUUCUUGGUGAGCCGGCGUGCCCUUUAUUGGUGUGCGUCGGGGAACCAGGACUUUUACCUUGAGAAAAUUAGAGUGUUCAAAGCAGGCCUAUGCCUGAAUACAUUAGCAUGGAAUAAUAGAAUAGGACGUGCGGUUCUAUUUUGUUGGUUUCUAGAGUCGCAGUAAUGAUUAAUAGGGACAGUUGGGGGCAUUGGUAUUGAGUCGCUAGAGGUGAAAUUCUUGGAUUGACUCAAGACCGACUAUUGCGAAAGCAUUUGCCAAGGAUGUUUUCAUUAAUCAAGAACGAAGGUUAGGGGAUCGAAAACGAUCAGAUACCGUUGUAGUCUUAACAGUAAACUAUGCCGACUAGGGAUCGGAUGACCUCAAAAUUGAUGUGUCAUUCGGCACCUUACGAGAAAUCAAAGUCUUUGGGUUCUGGGGGGGAGUAUGGUCGCAAGGCUGAAACUUAAAGGAAUUGACGGAAGGGCACCACCAGGUGUGGAGCCUGCGGCUUAAUUUGACUCAACACGGGGAAACUCACCAGGUCCAGACAUAACUAGGAUUGACAGAUUGAUAGCUCUUUCAUGAUUUUAUGGGUGGUGGUGCAUGGGCCGUUCUUAGUUGGUGGAGUGAUUUGUCUGGUUAAUUCCGAUAACGAACGAGACCUUAACCUGCUAAAUAGCCAGGCCGGCUUCGGCUGGUCUCUGGCUUCUUAGAGGGACUGUCAG
rnacentral:rRNA from 1 species